rnacentral:rRNA from 2 species
UGGGCGUAAGAGCUCGUAGGCGGUUUGUCGCGUCUGCUGUGAAAUCCCGAGGCUCAACCUCGGGCCUGCAGUGGGUACGGGCAGACUAGAGUGCGGUAGGGGAGAUUGGAAUUCCUGGUGUAGCGGUGGAAUGCGCAGAUAUCAGGAGGAACACCGAUGGCGAAGGCAGAUCUCUGGGCCGUAACUGACGCUGAGGAGCGAAAGGGUGGGGAGCAAACAGGCUUAGAUACCCUGGUAGUCCACCCCGUAAACGUUGGGAACUAGUUGUGGGGACCAUUCCACGGUUUCCGUGACGCAGCUAACGCAUUAAGUUCCCCGCCUGGGGAGUACGGCCGCAAGGCUAAAACUCAAAGGAAUUGACGGGGACCCGCACAAGCGGCGGAGCAUGCGGAUUAAUUCGAUGCAACGCGAAGAACCUUACCAAGGCUUGACAUAUACGAGAACGGGCCAGAAAUGGUCAACUCUUUGGACACUCGUAAACAGGUGGUGCAUGGUUGUCGUCAGCUCGUGUCGUGAGAUGUUGGGUUAAGUCCCGCAACGAGCGCAACCCUCGUUCUAUGUUGCCAGCACGUAAUGGUGGGAACUCAUGGGAUACUGCCGGGGUCAACUCGGAGGAAGGUGGGGAUGACGUCAAAUCAUCAUGCCCCUUAUGUCUUGGGCUUCACGCAUGCUACAAUGGCCGGUACAAAGGGCUGCAAUACCGUGAGGUGGAGCGAAUCCCAAAAAGCCGGUCCCAGUUCGGAUUGAGGUCUGCAACUCGACCUCAUGAAGUCGGAGUCGCUAGUAAUCGCAGAUCAGCAACGCUGCGGUGAAUACGUUCCCGGGUCUUGUACACACCGCCCGUCAAGUCAUGAAAGUCGGUAACACCUGAAGCCGGUGGCCCAACCCUUGUGGAGGGAGCCGUCGAAGUGGGAUCGGUAAUUAGACGAAGUCGUA